rnacentral:tRNA from 2 species
GCACUGGUGGUUCAGUGGUAAAAUUGGACAUUGCCAAGUUGAUUACGACUCGACGUUGUCUAGCCCCGGGUCCGAUUCCCGGCCAGUGCA